UAUCUAGUUGCCUUGUCGUUUAUUUUCUUUGUAAUAUUAUGUGAGCAUGCAACUAACCAGCUACUGAUAUGAAUGUUGUUCCACACAUGCUGCUCAGAAUGCAUUUGUUUUCCACACAUAUGAAUGUUCUUCCAUGUCAUCUUUUUUGGCAAUUGCAACUUUGUCUUCGAUCUUGAUCUUUAUAUGAUAUGAAGAAGAAUAUUUUUAGUAGCUCUUCUUAUGAAGAAGAAUAUGGAAAACAGAACUUGAAACACAUGGUUAUUUGAUUUAUAGGGAAGAUGCACCUUGAGAGAUUUGCUAGCAAUAUAUGAUGCCCAUGAUUUGUUUCUUGUUUUAAAAAUGGUAACCAAUUUGCUUGUUACUAAUGAUGCUUGCCCUACCUUCCAAUCCAGAAGUUACAAUUACUUGCUGGAUUUUUUUAUGUAGAUCAAAUGGCUCGGCUUCCUAUUACCGAACAACGACGAAAACUAAAGAAACUAUUAUUGCUUCAACAAACAACCAACAAUAUGCUGGUCUUGUUAUUUGCUCUAUAUUAUGUACUCAUUUGUUCAUACCUUCGAGAUAAUGUUCGUCAUAUCAAAACAAAAGAAGAAAAAAGAGUCAAUCGAAUGAGAUGGAUGUGUAGAUUGACAAUGGAUUGUGAUUCUGCUUGCAUUAGUCAACUUCGCAUGGAUAGAGCAACCUUUAGGAUAUUGUGUGAUAUGGUAGCAAACAUUGGAGGACUAAAACCCACUAAGAACACAUCCAUAGAGGAGGUUGUAGCAAUGUUCAUAUAUACCUUGGCUCAUCACAAAAAAAGUAGAACAAUUAGCCUACUUUUUUACCGUAGUACAGAAACAGUGAGUCGGCAAUUUCAUCAAGUUCUUAAUGCAAUUUUAAAAUUAUAUCCUAUUUUGCUCAAGAAGCCAGAACCUAUUACUCAAGAUUGUCAAGAUGAGAAGUGGAAAUGUUUUCAGGGAUGCUUAGGAGCGUUAGAUGGAACAUUAAUUAAAGUUACACCUCCUACAGAAGAUAAACCUUGUUUUCGCACUAGAAAAGGGUGUAUUUCAACUAAUGUAUUAGGUGUUUGUUGCCCAAACAUGCAAUUCAUAUAUGUAUUACCUGGUUGGGAGGGAUCAGCACAUGAUGGUCGUGUGCUUCGAGAUGCGAUAUCAAGACCGCAUGGUCUAAGGGUCCCUCGAGGUACAUUUGCGUUGUAAUGUAUACUAUAAAUUUUAUUUUUAUUUUUUAAUGUUACUAACAAUUUCAUUUAUAUUCAACAAUGAAGGUUGUUAUUACUUGGUUGACUCUGGAUAUUGCAAUGCAAAUGGAUUUCUUGUCCCAUAUCAAGGACAACGAUAUCACCUAAAAGAAUUUGAUGGCCAUCGACCGGAGACACCAGAGGAAUACUUCAACAUGAAGCAUUCCAAGGCUAGGAAUGUUAUAGAAAGAUGUUUUGGGUUGUUAAAGGGGAGAUGGAAGAUUCUUGCAUCACCAUCAUUUUUCUCCAUUCAAACCCAAAUUCGGAUUAUCAUGGCAUGUUGUCUUAUGCAUAAUUUGAUUCGCAAGUUUAUGAGCUUUGAUCCACAAGAGUCACUUAUAGCAGAUGAGGAAGAGGAAUCUGAUGGGGGAAGUGACAAUGAAGAAGUAGAGUAUAUUACGCAAAUUAAUCCAAGUAAUGAGUGGUCAUCAUUUAGAAAUAAUAUGGCAACCAAUAUGUAUAGCACAUGGUCUACUAGACCUAGUGGCAAUGUUAGUGAUUGAGUUCUAUUUUGUAAGAAUGUUAUAACAAUUGCGUGUUCUGAUUUUAUAUAUGUAUUUGAAUGGUACCAGUUCUACUCGACAUUAUAAGAUUCAUAUAUUGGUAUAUUAUGUGGUGUUUUGUUUUAUAUGUAUACUCGACAUUAUAAGAUUUAUCCAUCAGUUAUUACUAAUGAUUAAAAAAGUUCUUUUAUGCCAAUAUGAUAUUCAUUUCAUACCUCUUACACUGUCAUCUUUUUUGUUAGGAUGACUACAAUUACUCCAUCAAUUGCACGUGGAAGAGGGAAAAACAAACAAUAUUGGACGGAUGAGGAGGUGGAAGUGUUGGUUGACGCUCUCAUAGAACUGGCUUCCGAUCCUUUAUGGAAGGUAGAUACUGGUUUUAAAAAUGGUUAUAUGAUUCAAAUACACAAAAUGGUAUUGGGUAAGAUUCCAAGUUUCAAUAAAGCAGUUAUUCCUCAUAUUGAAUCCAAGAUCAAAUAUCUUAAAACCAAGUACAAUCCCCUCUCUGAGAUGUGUAUGCAAAGUGGGUGUCAGUGGGAUGACGUGGAGCACAAGAUUAACUGUGAAAAGCAAUGGUUCGAUGAAUGGUGUCUGACUCACCCUAAU